rnacentral:rRNA from 1 species
AGUGAGCGCUGGCGGUAGGCCUAACACAUGCAAGUCGAACGGCAGCACAGUAAGAGCUUGCUCUUACGGGUGGCGAGUGGCGGACGGGUGAGGAAUACAUCGGAAUCUACUUUUUCGUGGGGGAUAACGUAGGGAAACUUACGCUAAUACCGCAUACGACCUACGGGUGAAAGCAGGGGAUCUUCGGACCUUGCGCGAUUGAAUGAGCCGAUGUCGGAUUAGCUAGUUGGCGGGGUAAAGGCCCACCAAGGCGACGAUCCGUAGCUGGUCUGAGAGGAUGAUCAGCCACACUGGAACUGAGACACGGUCCAGACUCCGACGGGAGGCAGCAGUGGGGAAUAUUGGACAAUGGGCGCAAGCCUGAUCCAGCCAUACCGCGUGGGUGAAGAAGGCCUUCGGGUUGUAAAGCCCUUUUGUUGGGAAAGAAAAGCAGCAGGUUAAUACCCCGCUGUUCUGACGGUACCCAAAGAAUAAGCACCGGCUAACUUCGUGC